CUGGCUCUCAGGGUGUGGACUCAGGCACAGAGCCCCCAGCCAGGAGGAAAAGACAAGAUCUGGUCCCUGGCUCAGUGGCUGGGAGCAAGUCUCUUAACCAUUCUGAGCCUCUGCUGUAAAAGCAGGAUGCCACUUGGAUUUCACAGGAGGACCAAGAGGAAAGCACUCAAUGGUUGAGACUGCCACAUAAGAAGCCUGACUGCCCUCGGCCACCAUGCCAGGAGGAAGCCCAAGCAGCCACAUGAAGAGACAGAGGCCACGUGCAGGAGCCCAAUGUCCACUUUAUGCGAGUGAAGCUGAGGGGCAAAGAUCCAGGAGAAAAGAGCUUCUAGCCUCUAGCCCUUGCUGGUCGGGUGACUAGGAUUCCUGGUUUUCAUCCAGGCUCCCCAGGUUCACUUCCUGGGCAGGGAAUGAAGAUCUUGCUUCACGUCAUGGCUCACUACUGCCUCGCCGAGAUCAAAGCCUUCUUGGACCUUCCAGCCCUGCUCAGCCGCCAGCAGAAUGCUGCCAAAUGGAGGACCCCAGCUGACUGCUCACUGCCCCCUGCAAUGAAAGAACCACCCAGCUGAUUCCUGCCCAAAUUCCUGACCCAAAAUGAAGGGCAGGUGAACUGGUUGUUUUCAGCCACUGAGUUUGGGCAUAGAUUCUUACCUAGCAGUAGAUAACUGAUUAUCAUGAAACAUGCCUUCUUCCUCUCCAGGGGACCACUUUGGAACAUUGGGUGUUGGGGAUGGGGUUGCUAUUCCUUCACCAGUGGGUAAUCUGCAAACUCUGAACUCUUCACCAUCCAGCCCUCUACGGCCUCCUGGGCUGCUGCUCCCACCCCCUUAGCUCUCAUCAGCCCAGAUCUCUGCCUGGCUCUGCUCUGUCUCUUCUCCAUGCCUUUGCAUCCAUCCUGACUUCUUCCUGAGGAGUCUUUUCCUCCUCCUCUCCUACAGCACAACUCUGUCCCUCCUUUGGGAUCUAGCUCAAAUGUCAUCCUUUCUCCAGCUGCCCCUAGGCUACCUCUGGACCCCACAGGCCCUCAUGAAGUCUGAAUCUUAUUCUGAAAAUAACACUGCUGCCCUUGGUGGGGCACAUCCUGGAUCCUGGUGUGUCUCCAGGCAGACUGUACAUGCUGACAUCAGGCCAGACCGUCCCCUUUGGCUCAGGGACCAAGAUGGAUGUGCUCUGGGAUGGCAGCUCAUGGUCCCUGCAUCGGGGCAACACAAAGACCACCUGAACCGUGGCUAACCACUCUUAUUUUCCCCAGGAAAGAAAUUUCAGUUCAACACAUUCGUGCAGCAUUUCGUGUACCACACAGUCUCAAACAGCCAAGAGG
ensembl:lncRNA